GCGGGCCUGCGUCCUAGGCGGGGCCUCCGGGCCGGGGUCGCCUUGGCCGCCCGUGCGGGACGGGUCUGGGAUGGGCGCGCCCCCAGGGCGGGGAGACCAAGUGGCGGUGUCCCCCUCGUGGGCAGGGACGGCACAGAGACCCCCGAGGGCCGCGGACACCCAAGGGACAGAUGCUGGGCGAGGCCGGGGACGGGGGCGCAGACCUGGGUCCUGCCUCUUCAGUGGGUCGAGGAGCCCGCGCUGCCCGGCAGCAGCCCCAGGCGCACCCUGAGAGCCGGUCAGCUCUAGCCCGGCUGGCGCUGGGCGCAGGCGGAGUGCACUGCGGGCUCCCGGGCUCCCGGACUGAACAGGGUCAGAAGCAGCAGCAGAGCGCUCCAAUAGCAGGAUAUGCUGUAUUUUCAGAAAGGAGAAAAGAAAUGGCAUGAAUCUAGGAGAAAACACAACAAUCCAAACAAAAAGUGUGGAAAAAGAGUAUGGAAAAGGAGGAAGAAAAAGCCACAAGAGAAGAUUUUAAAAGUGUCAUAAUUAGGACAGAAGAGAAGUAGUAAGGGUAAGGAAACCACAGGAAGUCAAGGUGGUCAGUGGUGGAUGGGGUCAACCACUCAGAAAGACUAGCGAUUUUCCGCCUUACCUGAACUGAAGGAACCAAGCUAGUAGUUCAGGGUUCAGUGGCAUCUUUUUAUGUUAUAUAACUACCUUGAGUAAACCAGGCGAACAUGCCACCACAGUGACGGACACAAAGUAAGCCUUGGCCAAUACUUUAGAGCAUUUAUCAGGGACCAUUUUAGAAACUAGUUUUGUAAAGACAAAUAAAUAAUAGUCAUUACCCAUCAGUAAGUUCUGGGUCUAUUAAGGGAAUAGAGAAGUAGAGACAGAGAGAUGAUUCAUUAUAAUAAUACCAGAAAAAAGCUAGGGAACAGGAGAGGUGAAGAAAGCUAACCAGAGAAAGUAUCACCUAAAUCCUAAAUAAUAAUAUGUGCACUCGGCAGGCAAAAGGUGAAAAUGCUUUCCAGAAAAUGAAGCACUGAGAACGGCCUUAGACCCACUGACUUUGCGAGCUUUACCAAGCGUGGAGAAAAGGGUGGUUCCUGCCUUUUUCAGUAAGUUUCAGAAAAUGGAAGAAGUUUCACUUCGGUCAUGUCAAGUUACUUAAAGUCAUCCUCCGAGUGACAAAACAAAAAUAAAACCACCAGGAGCAGUGGUGCACACCUGUAAUCUCAGCAACCCAGGAGACUGAGGCAGGAGAGUCUCGAGUUUGAGGCCAGCCUGGGCAACUUAGCAAGACCCUAUCUCAAAAUAAAAAGUAAAAAGGACUGAGGAUGUAGCUCCGUGGUUGAGUGCCUCUGGAUUUAAUCCCUGGGACCAAAAAGAAAAAAAUAAGAAAGGAAAGAAAAACCAGAAUGGUGUCACAUGCUGCACUUAGAUGGCAGGAGCAAAUAAAAACCAUCUUUGGAGGGGCCAGGGUUGGGGCUCAGCUGUAGAGCACUCGCCUCUCACAUGUGAGACCCUGGGUUCGAUCCUCAGCAUCACAUAAAAAUAAAUAAACAAAAUAAAGAUAUUGUGCCCAUGUAUAACUAAAAAAUUUUUUUUUAAAAAAAUAUCUUUGGAGAAAGAUCCUAGCCACCCAACUAUUCCUAUAAAAAUUCUCAAAUACAGUGAACAACACAAAAAUAGCUAGUCCUCAGGAUGACAAGACACCUGAGAACUGGCAGAAGCAACGUGUGACAGAUACUGAGGCAGGGGGACUUAACCUGGAAUUCUCAGGCAGAGGCAAUGACACAGCAUGUGCAUUGUUCAAAGGAGUAGAUUGCAACUCAAAAGUCCAAGCAAGGAAUGGAGCUGUGAAACGCAGUGUGUUGAGAAAGAAAACAAAAUCUGGGUUGGAAAAGAGGGCAGGGGGCUGAGGUUAUGGCUCAGUGGUGGAGCCCUUGCUUAGCACGCAUGAAGCACUGAGUUCAAUCCUUACACCACAUAAAAACAAAAAAAAUAAAAUAAAGGUAUUGUGGCAACAACUAAAAAAUUUUUUUAAUUAAAAAAAAUAAUAAAAAAGAACCCAAAGGAUGGAAUUCACAGCAGGUUGGAGAGAAUAAAUGAAUUGGAGAUGGGUCCGAAGAAAUUAUCCAACAUGAAGAAAUAAAAGUAUGAGAAUACAGAAGGACUAAGAGGCAGAGAAUAGAUUGAGAAUGUCUGACAGACAUAGCUAGAGUCUCCAAAAGAGAGAAAUAGGACAGAAAUCUUUAGACCCCAAACUACAGACUCAAGAAGCUCAGUGAAAUCGAAGCAGAGAAGGUGAAAAGAAAUCUACAAAUAGACACAUCCUGGUGAAACUGCAGAAAAGGACAAAAGCUGAUAAGAAGGUGUAAGAAACCAAGCUUAUUUUUAACAGAGUGAGAAUUUGAGCAGGCUACAUUCUCUAGAGGAAGCGUUCUGAAAAUAUAAACAGCUGCCAGCCACGGGUGCUGAACCGCAAAGACAUCCCAGCCAAGAUGGGGUGAAGAGUGCGGGGUGAGGAGCAAGUUGGCCUCAUGAAAUGACCGUCCCUGUGCAGAACAACAAGAAGCAGUGACUCCCAGGGGCUUAGUACAUGAAGAAUUGCAGUGUUCAUGACCCGGCUCUGCCCCAGCCUUCCCAAUACCCCCAGAAGCUUUCCACCCUCGCUCCCAGCCAGUGCUCCCACAUCCCCUCUGUGGGCAGGGGCCCAGGGGUCCCUCCUGUUCAAAGAUCACCUCUGCCUUACACGUCCCAGCCAGCAGCCAACACCACAGAAGGCUGAACCCGGAAUUCCUUUAUUAGUAUUGACAUUAUCUGGUAUCAAGCCCCCAGUUUCAAACAUCUGGCAGAAAACUGGAAAAGAGCCUUACAAGUGCCAUUCCGAACGGGGCCAUCAGUGAGCGCACACAGUGCUAUUCACAGGGCUUUGUGGACAUGCUCAGCUCGUUCCCACCACUGGGCAGCAUGACAAAGACUCAGCCCCCAGUAAACAGUCCUCAAAUAGAUAUGCUUCAAGAAAACCACCCCCACAGGUGUCUGCGAGUGUGCGAAGCAGACAGACCCCUUUGAGGGGGCCAUGCUCAUCAGGAGGAGCAGGGAGGGGAGCUGUGGGCUUGGGCCAGCUGUCGUACGUGGGUGUACACAGCGGCGAUGGGGACACACAUGCAAACCCUGCAUCUUUCUGGCCUGGGGAACAUAAGAGUGAACAUGAAAAUGGGACACACUGAAGAGAGAGAGCAGACCGCAGAAGAAAAAGGUCAAGAGGAGAUCCCCAUGUUCAUUCUGUCCGUGUCUCCCUUCCCACAGAACCAUGUCACUCGGACCCGAGUUGGUGGGCUAAAGAAAAGGGUCUGAAGCCAGCCCAGGGCUUCCCCUAGAACAGUCUUCAAUUGGAACCCAUGCAAGAAAACAGCCUGCAAAAAAGGAAACAACACUCAAAACAGGAAAAUAACUGAAUCCAGAAACCCUGCAGCCCAACAUCGCAGGAUCCAAAUGCAGCCUGACGUAGAAAGAAACAGGAACGUGGAAAACUCUGUUAGAGAGAAGAAAAGCAAUAAAAUCCACCCUGGAAAUGCGCCAGGGUUACAGUCCACAGACACAGGUUUUAAAGCAACUUUCAAAACUAAAUGAAGUAAAACAAAACACGACUUGAGGGCUGGGGGUCUGGCUCAGCAGAAGAGCGCUCGCCUAGCUCGCACGAGGCACUGGGCUCAACCCUCACACCACAUAAGAACAAAUAAAUACAGGUAUUGUGUCCAUCUACAACUAUAUAUGUAUAUGGAAAAAAAAACCCAAGAGAAAAAUGGUAAAGCUCAGCAGAGAAAUAGAAGCAAUAAAAUAGGACCAAAUAGAAAUUAUAACCCUGGAAAGCAUAAUUUCUGAAAUUAAAAGUUCACUGGAGUUGACUGCAGUGGCUUCUUGUAGUCCCACAGACUUAGGUGCCUGAGGCAAGUUCAAGGCCAGCCUCAGCAACUUAGCAAGGCCCUAAGCAACUCAGUGAGAUCCUGUUUCAAAAUAAAAAGGAUUGGGGCUGGGGUUGUGGCUCAGUGGCAGAGUGCUUGCCUAGCACCUGUGAGGUACUGGGUUCAAUCCUCAGCACCACAUAAAAAUAGAUUUAAAUAAAUAAAAAGGACUGGGGAUUUGGCUCA